GCAAAAGUGGCAAGGGUGAAAGGGAGAGGAAAGAAUGUAUCGAUCCCGAAGGCAGCUUGUGCAUGUGCUACUGUUGCUGGGGCAAGUG
rnacentral:ribozyme from 1 species